CUCCAUCACACCGCAUGGUGUGUUGGGAAAGCCUUUGCGGCAUGGGAUGGGGUCGCGUCCUAUCAGCUUGAUGGCGGGGUAACGGCCCACCAUGGCUUCGACGGGUAGCCGGCCUGAGAGGGCGACCGGCCACAUUGGGACUGAGAUACGGCCCAGACUCCUACGGGAGGCAGCAGUGGAGAAUAUUGCACAAUGGGCGCAAGCCUGAUGCACCGACGCCGCGUGAGGGAUGGAGGCCUUCGGGUUGUAAAAUUCUUUUGUUAGGGAGCAAGGCACUUUGUGUUGAGUGUACCUUUCGAAUAAGCACCGGCUAACUACGUGCCAGCAGCCGCGGUAAUACGUAGGGUGCAAGCGUUAUCCGGAAUUAUUGGGCGUAAAGGGCUCGUAGGCGGUUCGUCGCGUCCGGUGUGAAAGUCCAUCGCUUAACGGGGGAUCCGCGCCGGGUACGGGCGGGCUUGAGUGCGGUAGGGGAGACUGGAA
rnacentral:rRNA from 1 species